AGACUCUGAGCGCGGCCGCGGAGCUGCAGUGGCGGGGAGUGGGGUGCGGAUCUUGUGUUUGCGCACGCAGUCGCCGGCCACCUCAGGCCGGAGCUAGAGAUACGGCUCGGGAUAGGAGGGCCCGGCGGCUCUGAGGCAGGUUCGCCUCGAGCCGCACGGCCCGGAGCAGCGGCUCCGCGGUGGUCCCCGGGGCUUGAGAGGGGUGCGGGCCUGGGAGCCCCUGAGGGCCUGAUUUACGGAACUCCCCCUCCUUCCUCCUUUCUGCCGUUCCCUGCUCUGUGGCGGAUGCGCAGGGAUCAGUAGGGACGGCAGCAGUAGGGCCACUCGGGCCUGCCCCGCUUCCCGCAUUGCCCGGUUUGGCGCGCCGCCUCCGGGCCUUGGCAAAGCCCCAGCGCCCGAUUGUCACUGACCAGUGCUUGGAAGUCCUUUACCGACUGCCCGUCAGCGUCCCGCGGAGAGGAUUUUGCGUCUCCAAAGACGCCCCUCUUCCGAAAACAGGCUCCUCUGUGUUCUCAGUCGGGUAUAUUUUUCUGUCUCCAAACUAGAUUGGCAGCCGUUUUUUGAGAGCAGGGUCUUGCUCUGUUGCCCAGACUGGAGUGCAGUGGCGCCAUCUCAGCUGACUGCAGAUUCAACCUUCUGAGCUCACGAAAUCCUCCCAUCUCAACCUCCUGAGUAGCUGGGACCACAGGCUGAGCACAGGGUUGCUCCAGGUGGGCCCAAAUGCUGAAGAGCCUCAUGUUAGAGUUUUUCACCUCUGCGAUGGAACUGUGGUGGACUCCAGUAUCAUCAUUCCAGGGAGGCAUAGCCGCACCAACUGUGUUCCCAGGUUUCACAUGGAGAAGGGUUUUAGAAAGUGCAGAUAGCCUUGAAACCAUUGGUUUCCUACCACUGUUUAUUUCAGCAUAACUUUUUUUGUGUGGAAUGCUAGCUCUGGAAGAGCAGAAAUAAAUACAGCUUAAGCUUUGAACCAUA
rnacentral:lncRNA from 1 species